UCCAACCUUAUCACUCCACGUCCCUCCAGCUUUGCCCCACCACAUGUUAAUAUAUUUUCCAAGCCCCUGAACACCAUUAGACAAGGCAAUGUACAAAGCCACAAACAUAUAUAUAAGGAAACUCAAUUCCUUUCCUUUUCACGCACAAGCAUCUAAUCUUUCUUUCUUGUUUUUUUUUUUUUUUCUUCUUCUUGCUGCAGCAACAACACGCACACCAUGCCUUCUAAUUCUUCUCAUCACCAAUUUCUUCUUCAUUUUUCCUUGUUGCAACAAACGACCCACGCACCAUAGUCAUUCAUCACCAUGCCAAUUUUCUCAUCACCCUUCAAGCACCAAACCCGCGAGCAGAAAGGGAGAGAGGGAGAAGAAGUUUUUUCGCCGUUUCUUGCCUGAUCGUCUCACUGACAGUUGCUACGCGUAGGCCUCGAGAUUCGUUUGGAGGAACACUUGGAGCAGGAAAAGAGGAAUGUGAAGGAGCCUUGCUUGAACACACUGGACGAGUUCGAGACGUCCAACAGCUGAUUCAAGAUGGUUCGUCGUUCGGGGAGGAUCCUGAGCGCGAUGACUACUACUGAGCCUUCGACGUGGACCCGGACUUCAUGCAUGAUCGGAUGAGGGUCGAUGUUAGGAGUGUAGUAUAUGGAGGAUUGUUUUCACAGCUAUGAUUGUCAUUUCUCAUUUUGGGGCAGGGUAGGUCCCCGACUAUUAGCUUUUGUGUGGUUCUCUUCCAGGAGGAUCACAGGGAGUUUGUCGGGCAUAGGAAGUCUUUCGAAGGCCGUUUGGGGCUGACUUAUCUUCUUGAAAACUGUAUUCAUAAAACUCAUGGCUCUGACCAUGGGAUGUACUUAUUCGCCUGCGGGCACUAUCUCCAAUUACUUUAUGUUUAUUUUUUUUGGGUUGAGUCUUCAUUAUGUUAAGUCUUCUAUUGAAAAGAAAACGAAAAAAAUAUUUACGCAU